GAGUGUGUGGCCUAGUGUUUGAGUGUUGGACUACCACUCUGGAGACCAGGGUUGGAUUCCCAGCUUGGCCA